CAUUACUUCACAUCAGUGAUUAGAGAAGUUGCAGUGGGACAGUUAAUAAGAGGAUGUAGUUUAUAGAAACGCGCAGCAGCUUUGUGACGUGUGCAGGCCUGCGUUCACCUUACUCUGGAAUAACUUGAAUUUUAGGCCUAGCUCUGUAGCAAACUCAAGCCAUACCGUAUGGAAUUUGUUUGGGGGCAGAAAUAUCACUUAUGAAUACAAAAUAUCAAGCUGCUGGAGCAGUGAAAGGGUAAAUGCUGAUGAACAGCAUGUUAUGUGGACAACACCAAAGGAAUGGUCCUGUCGGCACAGUCAGCUGAACUCUGGUCUGGAACCACAGACGUGAAUGCAGAAUUCCUUUUAUUCAGCAAAUGUAUGGUGUUGAUGCAGUGAUUUGAUUGAAUUCAAAAUGUGAUUCUUGCUAGCGAGAAGGUACUCUUCAAUGGGUAGUUCUGAUGAAUUGCACUACUUGUCCCUGGGAUCACACAUGGAGGUUUGACAGUCAACUUUGUGGAGGCCUUGUAAAUGAUCUGAUAUUAUGUGGAUGGGCAUUGAUUGCUGCAGCACAACAUAAUUAAAGCUUUCUUCUUGCCAAUAAAAAAUUAAAUACAAA